GACGAACGCUGGCGGCGUGCCUAAUACAUGCAAGUAGGACGCAGUUGCGAACGUGUGAGUAACGCGUAGGUAACUGCCUAUUAGAGGGGGAUAACUAUUGGAAACGAUAGCUAAUACCGCAUACUAGUAGAUGGACCUGCGUUGUAUUAUCUAGUAGGUAGGGUAAUGGCCUACCUAGGAAACGAUACCUAGCCGACCUGAGAGGGUGGUCGGCCACACUGGGACUGAGACACGGCCCAGACUCCUACGGGAGGCAGCAGUAGGGAAUCUUCGGAAAUGGGGGGAACCCGUACCGAGCAACGCCGCGGGAGUGAAUAAGGUUUUCGGAUCGUAAAGCUCUGUUGUGAAGGAAGCGGUACUUAACCAGAAAGGGACGGCUAACUACGUGCCAGCCGCCGCGGUAAUUC
rnacentral:rRNA from 1 species